UAAAAGUUUGAUCCUGGCUCAGAUUGAACGCUGGCGGUAUGCUUUACACAUGCAAGUCGAACGGAUAAUGAAGCUUGCUUCAUUGUUAGUGGCGAACGGGUGAGUAAUAUAUCGGAACAUAUCCGGAAGUGGGGGAUAACGUAGCGAAAGUUACGCUAAUACCGCAUAUGCCCUGAGGGGGAAAGGGGGGGAUCGCAAGACCUCUCGCUUUCGGAGUGGCCGAUAUCGGAUUAGCUAGUAGGUGAGGUAAAGGCUCACCUAGGCGACGAUCCGUAGCUGGUCUGAGAGGACGACCAGCCACACUGGAACUGAGACACGGUCCAGACUCCUACGGGAGGCAGCAGUGGGGAAUUUUGGACAAUGGGCGAAAGCCUGAUCCAGCCAUACCGCGUGAGUGAAGAAGGCCUUCGGGUUGUAAAGCUCUUUCAGCCGGAAAGAAAUUGCUUCUAUUAAUACUAGGAGUAGAUGACGGUACCGGAAGAAGAAGCACCGGCUAACUACGUGCCAGCAGCCGCGGUAAUACGUAGGGUGCGAGCGUUAAUCGGAAUUACUGGGCGUAAAGCGUGCGCAGGCGGUUUUUUAAGCCAGAUGUGAAAUCCCCGGGCUUAACCUGGGAACUGCAUUUGGAACUGGAAGACUAGAGUAUAGCAGAGGGAGGUAGAAUUCCACGUGUAGCAGUGAAACGCGUAGAUAUGUGGAGGAAUACCGAUGGCGAAGGCAGCCUCCUGGGUUAAUACUGACGCUCAUGCACGAAAGCGUGGGGAGCAAACAAGAUUCGAUACCCUGGUAGUCCACGCCCUAA
rnacentral:rRNA from 1 species